AUGAACACUUCUAGGAAAUCAACGAAAUCUGGUUUGUUGGAAAAGCAACAAUUUGUUUGCAACAAAUUCCGAAAACCCAAAGUUGAUGACGGAGGUGCAGAAACUGCCCCAAUCCUAGAUGUGAUUGAAGAUUUUAAUGGAGAUGCCGAUGAAGGUGAGGAUGAUGAGAUUGUCUUCCUUGAUGAUGAGUGUAAAAAGAAGAAGAAAUCUAAGAGAAGAAAGCGAGACACAAUAGUCCAAACAGGGUGCAGAGCAAGAAUGGUUGUGAAGCUAAUGGACAGUCGGUGGGAGGUGAUUUUCUUUGUUCGUGAACACAAUCAUGCAUUGGUUGACAAACCAUCACUAACUAAGUACCUCCGAUCACAUCAAGGGAUUCCUCCGGAAGAAAAACUAUUCCUGAAGAAUCUUCAUAACUGUAAUUUGACCACAGGUCUGUGUCCACAUUCAACCCAAAAAAAACUCUGUUUUCUUGUGGGAAUUUUUUCAUAA
rnacentral:rRNA from 1 species